GAGUGCAUCUCUCUCCAUGUUGACCAGACUGGUGUUCAGGUAGACAAUUCAGAAUGAAAGCUCUACUGCAUGGAACAUGGCAUCCUGCCGGAUGGGCAGAUGCCAAGUGACAAGAACAUUGGGUGGUACUCCACUGGCUUCAAAGUUGCCACUAAUUACCAGCCUCCCAAUAGUAUCUAGUGGUAACAUGGCCAAGAUCCAGAGAGUGUAUUCAUGUUGAACAAAACCACACUAUUACUGAGGCCUGGACUCACCUAGGUCACAAGUGUGUACUGAUGUAUGCCACGCAUGCCUUUGUUCUGAAGCCCUUGAGAACAUGGCUGCCAUAGAGAAGGAUUAUGAGGUUGGUCUGGAUUCUGUUGAAGGUGAGAGUGAAAACGGAGAGGAAUAA
rnacentral:lncRNA from 1 species